GGGGGCGAUCGGUUUCGACGGGGACGGAAGAGAUCGAGGCUGCAUGCCGAGGUCCCGUCACCUCGCUAAACAGUCGGGAACUCAAUAGUUGCCAACAGCAACUACGCACUAGCCGCCUAAGAGUGGCUACGUCCGCGGCAGCCUUUGUCUGCGAGACCGCCGAUGGGCGCCGCGAAAGCAGACUGGCCCUUUGUUCGGGCCCUGGGGACGGAGGGUGAGAAAGAACAGGGCUGGCCCCGCUGUGCAUCCUGUGGCCGGAGGCCAGCGGGGUGAGAUCAAGUAGGCCUACUAAGCAUGUAGGGGCCUCCUUCGAACCGUUUCCGGACGCGGGUUCGAUUCCCGCCGCCUCCACCA
rnacentral:tmRNA from 1 species